GCGAUCGAUCGAAGAGAGAUUGAUUAUACGACUCGUGAAAUCGGAGUCUCCUUCGCGAGCCGGAAAGCUCGUUGCCUUUUAUCGAUUGGAAAUUCUUUAGCGGCUAUAAAUUGAAAUUAGCGAAUUCCGGAAACAACGGAAUUCUUGGCACUCGACCGAACCUAUUACGGCAUCACUGGGCAGAUAUAAUUGAAGAGGAAUUCCUGCAGCUGUAUCUUCCGAAGUGGUCUACUUCUUCGAGUGGGUGGCGAUCGACGUUCAUCACCUCGACCUUUGUAAAAGUAUUCCACCCGAGACGUUGCAUAUCCCCCCCCCCCCCCGAUGACGCAUACGGGAACGAUAAAAAUAUCCGACAUUCGGCGAUGCCGGUAUCUAUUCCAAGUUGAAAUGUAUACGAAAACUAUCAUCGAGUUAUAAAUCGUUU
rnacentral:misc_RNA from 1 species